CCUACGGGAGGCAGCAGUGGGGAAUAUUGGACAAUGGGCGAAAGCCUGAUCCAGCCAUGCCGCGUGUGUGAAGAAGGCCUUCGGGUUGUAAAGCACUUUCAGUGGGGAAGAAAGCCUUGGGGCUAAUACCCUCGAGGAAGGACAUCACCCACAGAAGAAGCACCGGCUAACUCCGUGCCAGCAGCCGCGGUAAUACGGAGGGUGCGAGCGUUAAUCGGAAUUACUGGGCGUAAAGCGCGCGUAGGCGGUCUGAUAAGCCGGUUGUGAAAGCCCCGGGCUCAACCUGGGAACGGCAUCCGGAACUGUCAGGCUAGAGUGCAGGAGAGGAAGGUAGAAUUCCCGGUGUAGCGGUGAAAUGCGUAGAGAUCGGGAGGAAUACCAGUGGCGAAGGCGGCCUUCUGGACUGACACUGACGCGGAGGUGCGAAAGCGUGGGUAGCAAACAGGAUUAGAUACCCGGGUAGUC
rnacentral:rRNA from 1 species